rnacentral:rRNA from 1 species
UACGUAGGUGGCAAGCGUUGUCCGGAAUUAUUGGGCGUAAAGCGCGCGCAGGUGGUUCCUUAAGUCUGAUGUGAAAGCCCACGGCUCAACCGUGGAAGGUCAUUGGAAACUGGGGAACUUGAGUGCAGAAGAGGAAAGUGGAAUUCCAAGUGUAGCGGUGAAAUGCGUAGAUAUUUGGAGGAACACCAGUGGCGAAGGCGGCUAUCUGGACAACAACUGACACUGAGGCACGAAAGCGUGGGGAGCAAACAGG